rnacentral:rRNA from 1 species
AUUGAACGCUGGCGGCAGUCCUAACACAUGCAAGUCGAGCGGAUGAAGGGAGCUUGCUCCUGGAUUCAGCGGCGGACGGGUGAGUAAUGCCUAGGAAUCUGCCUGGUAGUGGGGGAUAACGUCCGGAAACGGGCGCUAAUACCGCAUACGUCCUGAGGGAGAAAGUGGGGGAUCUUCGGACCUCACGCUAUCAGAUGAGCCUAGGUCGGAUUAGCUAGUUGGUGGGGUAAAGGCCUACCAAGGCGACGAUCCGUAACUGGUCUGAGAGGAUGAUCAGUCACACUGGAACUGAGACACGGUCCAGACUCCUACGGGAGGCAGCAGUGGGGAAUAUUGGACAAUGGGCGAAAGCCUGAUCCAGCCAUGCCGCGUGUGUGAAGAAGGUCUUCGGAUUGUAAAGCACUUUAAGUUGGGAGGAAGGGCAGUAAGUUAAUACCUUGCUGUUUUGACGUUACCAACAGAAUAAGCACCGGCUAACUUCGUG